rnacentral:misc_RNA from 1 species
AGGCAAAGUGGCAUCAGCCUGCAUGCGGAUAAGUGCCAAAUCUGCUGGACUGCCAACGGAUGCUCCAAUAGCACCAGCAGUUAGCCCACACAAGGCCUUCUGAUAUAGAGGAAGGGGCUUCCCAUCAUUGGCUUCAAUUGCUUUAUUGGUCAAAAUCCUAAGGAGAAACAAGAAAAUAAUCCAACAAGCUUAAUAAAUGUUAGAUUCACAAACAAAUUAUUAAUAAAAUUUCACAAAGAUAAACCAACUGAAAGAGUCAAACAAUAUUAAAAAAAGUAACAAUGUACAUAUACACAUACACACCCCAAAUUCACCAUGAUAGAUACCAGUGCUGUUUAAGGCGCGCCCAAGGCACCAGGAGCACCAGGUGCAAGCUUCAGUUCCUCUGAAGGCAAAAAGCAGGCGACAUCACUAAGGCGUGUGCCUCAGACCAGGAACAACGCACGCCUCAGCUAUGUACCUUCUUGUACUUUCCUUUUCUCCUUGUGCUUUCCUUCUCUCUCUCUCUCUCUGCCCAGCUUUUGGUAAUUGGGCCUCUCUUUAUGUACUAUGCGCUAAUAGAAAUGGUUCUAUAGGCAAUACCCCCUAGACCUAGAAAACCCAGAAACCACUUUACACACCCAAUUUCUCAAAGGAGGUCUUCUUGGGAAAUCUCUUGCACCUCUUCCAUAUUUUCUAGAGGGAGGGAGAGGGAAAAAGAAGGUGGUCCGGAAGGAGGGGGAGGGUGGGGAUUGUGCAAUAGAACAGAACAGUAAAUAUAUAAGGUACUAUAGGGAAAGAGGUGAAUUCUCUAUUCUUUCCUUGACCUACAAGAAGAGCUAUGGAUGAUGGUGCCAGUAAUAAGGAAACAGUGUUUGGUCAGAAAAGAGAUUAAAGAUUUCUGUGAUCUCAUCACUGCAUCUGCUACUUCUGCUUCUGCUGCUGUUCUUCGUACUACCCAAACCCAAAAAAAAAAAAAAUACCCUCCUCCUUCAAUCAAGGGCUAGGCAGCUCUAGGUUUCAACUCUCUCUUUAACCAUUUCUUUCACAUGGUCAAGUCUUUUCACUUUAUCUUUACUAUCUCUCUCUCAUUCGGUUCUUUUAAGAUUUUUACCACUUGGCUAGCAGUUAGAAUAGUUGGUUAUAGUUCCAGGGUGGUAGUCUCUGGAUUGUCUUGAUAGAUUAGAUCCUUUAUAUGCCACCACCACUGCCCACGCCUUUUGAAAGCGACUCUCCCUUACGGCCUUUUCUCUGCCCUCUCUCUUGCUUCACAUAAAAGAAACAACAUCAUCUUUCUUUCUUUCUUUUCCCUCAAUUUCCUUCUCGCAAUCCAUCUUUUUCUGGUUUCUUGGAUUUUUGUACAUGGCAUCUUAAGGCCUGUCCUUUUUCCCGUUUUCUUUUUCUGAGGCAGCAUAUGAUAUCAAUGUUUUUUUGAGGAAAAUUCUUGCAUGCCUCCAUUCUGCAUUAUUGAACUGCCCAUGGCAGACCUGGGUUGCUUCGGUGUAGUACGGAAUCGCCGG